CUACAUCUCUCAACACAGGCUUCAUAAAGACUGGCAUAAAUCCAAAGCACCAAAAAAAAAAAAACAAAACUCAGAUAGAGAAUGGGUAAGGGAGGAAAGCCUGACGGAGAUGAUGGUUUUGAGGAAGCCAGCAGAGAUGGUUGUGAACGAGAGAACAUGGCUGCUUGGCUUCUUGGUGUUAACACCCUCAAAAUCCAACCUUUCAAGCUCCCUAAUCUCGGACCCCGUGAUGUUUUAGUUCGACUCAAGGCUGUUGGCAUAUGUGGCAGUGAUGUUCACCACUUCAAGAACAUGAGAUGUGCAGAUUUUGUGGUGAAAGAGCCAAUGGUAAUUGGGCAUGAGUGUGCUGGGAUCGUAGAGGAAGUUGGGAGUGAGGUGAAGCAUCUGGUGCCUGGUGACCGUGUGGCACUAGAGCCCGGCAUCAAUUGCAAGCGAUGUGAGCUAUGCAAACAAGGCCGAUAUAAUCUAUGCCCCGAGAUGAAGUUUUUCGCGUCCCCUCCAACUCAUGGUUGCCUGGCAAAUCAGGUUGUCCAUCCUGGAGACCUGUGUUUUAAACUACCAAACAAUGUGAGCUUAGAGGAAGGGGCAAUGUGUGAGCCCUUAAGUGUUGGUGUUCAUGCUUGUCGUCGGGCUAAUGUCGGUCCAGAAACAAAUGUUUUGGUCAUGGGAGCAGGACCUAUAGGACUUGUUACAUUGUUGGCUGCUCGUGCCUUCGAAGCACCUAGAAUAGUCAUGGGUCUUGUGUGUUGAAACUCCCUUUUUUCUAAUGAGUUUAUGUAAAUUAUUUUGAAGGAGGUUGCUGAAGAAGUUGCUAAAUUAAAAGAAGCUAUGGGAACUCGAGUGGAUUUAAGCCUCGAUUGUGCAGGGUUUAAUAAAACCAUGGCCACAGCUCUGAGUGCUACUGGUUCCGGUGGCAAAGUUUGCCUUGUAGGAAUGGGCCAGAGAGAGCUGACUCUCCCACUCACUUCAGCCGCUGCCAGAGAGGUUGAUGUGAUUGGAAUUUUCCGAUACAAGAACACAUGGCCUUUGUGCCUCGAAUUGUUGGGAAGUGGUAAGGUUGAUGUGAAGCCCCUGAUAACACAUCGUUUUGGAUUCUCUCAAAAGGAAGUGGAAAAAGCAUUUGAAACCAGUGCUGGUGGAGGCAAUGCCAUUAAGGUCAUGUUUAAUCUGUAAAAUUGGCUCAAGGAAAUGGAGCCAAUCUUUGGUGAAAUUUUUGUUGUGCUUUGUUUGCCCAAUAAUCGGGGUUUAUGGU